rnacentral:rRNA from 1 species
AUUGAACGCUGGCGGCAUGCCUUACACAUGCAAGUCGAACGGCAGCGGACCUUCGGGUGCCGGCGAGUGGCGAACGGGUGAGUAAUAUAUCGGAACGUACCUUUCAGUGGGGGAUAACGUAGCGAAAGUUACGCUAAUACCGCAUAUUCUGUGAGCAGGAAAGCAGGGGAUCGCAAGACCUUGUGCUGAUUGAGCGGCCGAUAUCAGAUUAGCUAGUUGGUGAGGUAAAGGCUCACCAAGGCGACGAUCUGUAGCGGGUCUGAGAGGAUGAUCCGCCACACUGGAACUGAGACACGGUCCAGACUCCUACGGGAGGCAGCAGUGGGGAAUUUUGGACAAUGGGCGCAAGCCUGAUCCAGCCAUGCCGCGUGAGUGAAGAAGGCCUCGGGUUGUAAAGUACGUCUUUCGGUCCGGGACGGAAAGUACGACGACACGGUUAAGUA